UAAAUCCUGCUUUGUGCGCUGCUUGAUGAUUUUUAAAACCACAGUGUUUUUUCGGGAGUCAGACUUAGCUUGCAAAUAUCAAGCCGUAGUUCUUGUGCCCUUUAGGGUACAUUAGCGGAAGGUAGAACCAAGCUAGCGGGCACCCACCUGCGAGAAGCGGGUACUUUAAAAACACCGAGUGGACGGCUUAGUGGGGCAAGA
rnacentral:other from 1 species